UACGGGGGGGGCAAGGGUUGUUCGGAAUUACUGGGCGUAAAGGGCUCGUAGGCGGCCAACUAAGUCAUACGUGAAAUCCCUCGGCUCAACCGAGGAACUGCAUCCGAUACUGGCGGGCUUGAAUCCGGGAGAGGGAUGUGGAAUUCCAGGUGUAGCGGUGAAAUGCGUAGAUAUCUGGAGGAACACCGGUGGCGAAGGCGGCAUCCUGGACCGGUAUUGACGCUGAGGCGCGAAAGCUAGGGGAGCAAACGGG
rnacentral:rRNA from 1 species